rnacentral:rRNA from 1 species
AUUGAACGCUGGCGGCAUGCCUUACACAUGCAAGUCGAACGGUAACAGGUUAAGCUGACGAGUGGCGAACGGGUGAGUAAUGUAUCGGAACGUGCCCAGUCGUGGGGGAUAACUGCUCGAAAGAGCAGCUAAUACCGCAUACGACCUGAGGGUGAAAGCGGGGAUCGCAAGACCUCGCGCGAUUGGAGCGGCCGAUAUCAGAUUAGGUAGUUGGUGAGGUAAAGGCUCACCAAGCCGACGAUCUGUAGCUGGUCUGAGAGGACGACCAGCCACACUGGGACUGAGACACGGCCCAGACUCCUACGGGAGGCAGCAGUGGGGAAUUUUGGACAAUGGGCGCAAGCCUGAUCCAGCCAUGCCGCGUGCGGGAAGAAGGCCUUCGGGUUGUAAACCGCUUUUGUCAGGGAAGAAAAGGUUCUGGCUAAUACCUGGGACUCAUGACGGUACCUGAAGAAUAAGCACCGGCUAACUACGUG